AUUGAGAACAAUUCAAAUCCUUUAACGAGGAUCUAGCGGAGGGCAAGUCUGGUGCCAGCAGCCGCGGUAAUUCCAGCUCCGCAGGUGUAUAUCUAUGCUGCUGCGGUUAAAAAGCUCGUAGUUGGAUCUGCGUGCUCGGAACUGGUUGGCUCACUGAGUUCAAACUGGUCUCCGGCGCUUUAUUGGCUGGUUUUCCCUUGAUGCUCUUAACCGGGUGUCUUGGGUGGCUAGCACGUUUACUUUGAAAAAAUUAGAGUGCUCAAUACAGGCGUAAAGCCUUGAAUAGUGGUGCAUGGAAUAAUAGAAUAGGACCUCGGCUCUAUUUUGUUGGUUUUCGGAACUCGAGGUAAUGAUUAAGAGGGACAGACGGGGGCAUUCGUAUUGCGACGUUAGAGGUGAAAUUCUUGGAUCGUCGCAAGACGGACGACUGCGAAAGCAUUUGCCAAGAAUGUUUUCAUUAAUCAAGAACGAAAGUUAGAGGUUCGAAGGCGAUCAGAUACCGCCCUAGUUCUAACCGUAAACGAUGCCAACUAGCGAUUCGCAGGCGUUAAACAACGACCUUGCGGGCAGCUUCCCGGAAACGAAAGUGUUCGGGUUCCGGGGGAAGUAUGGUUGCAAAGCUGAAACUUAAAGGAAUUGACGGAGGGGCACCACCAGGAGUGGAGCCUGCGGCUUAAUUUGACCCAACACGGGAAAACUCACCCGGCCCGGACACCGUAAGGAUUGACAGAUUGAGAGCUCUUUCUUGAUUCGGUGGGUGGUGGUGCAUGGCCGUUCUUAGUUGGUGGAGCGAUUUGUCUGGUUUAUUCCGAUAACGAACGAGACUCUGGCCUACUAAAUAGUGGGCGGAUUCUUUCUGUCCGCAACACUUCUUAGAGGGACAAGCGGUGUUCAGCCGCACGAGAUUGAGCAAUAACAGGUCUGUGAUGCCCUUAGAUGUCCGGGGCUGCACGCGCGCUACACUGAAGGAAUCAGCGUGCUUUCUGACCUUGCCCGAAAGGGCUGGGUAACCCGAUGAAAAUCCUUCGUGAUUGGGAUAGGGACUUGCAAUUAUUUCCCUUGAACGAGGAAUUCCCAGUAAGUGUGGGUCAUAAGCUCGCGUUGAUUACGUCCCUGCCCUUUGUACACACCGCCCGUCGCUGCCCGGAACUGAGCCGUUUCGAGAAGAACAGGGACCGUCGUUGAAGGGCCUUAACGGGCUUUUCUCUGAUAGAAACUGUU
rnacentral:rRNA from 1 species